rnacentral:rRNA from 1 species
UACAGAGGGUGCAAGCGUUAAUCGGAAUGACUGGGCGUAAAGGGCGCGUAGGCGGUUUAUCAAGUGGUGGGUGAAAACUUUGGGCUUAACCUAAAGAGUGCCCAUCAGACUGGUGAGCUAGAGUGCAGUAGAGGAGAGCGGAAUUUCCGGUGUAGCGGUAAAAUGCGUAGAGAUCGGAAAGAACACCCGUGGCGAAAGCGGCUCUCUGGACUGUGACUGACGCUGACGUGCGAAAGCGUGGGGAG